UUUUUAAUUUUUCAGAAAGACUCUCGCUUUCUUGUUAAAAAAUAUUGAUUAUAAAUGGACCCAUGUCAGAAUUUCUCACCAUGGUUUUAUUCUUGGAACUGUUGUAGGUGUAAAAAAAUAAAGACGGUUGAAGGUGAUUGAGCAGAGAGUACCCACCAUAUGUUCGAUUAAUUGCCUCAAUGACAAUUUGCGGUGAAACUGUGCGUAAGGUCCAUGGAUGGAACGUGAUGCAGCAGAGAGCACCCACCAUGUGUUCGAUUAAUUGCCUGAACGAGAUAUGAAAACCUUCAUCGCCAGACGAUUAAACUAGUGGUAUCAUCAAUUGAGGGUUGUCUACUUUUUAUUAUCGACAUCCAUCUGCAAGGGAGAAUGAUCCAAAAUGAGGUCUUAAAUCGAACUCGAUCAUGAGCAUCACAAUGUGAUGCAAGAGCAAAAUUUUACAAAAAUAUGAAAUUUAAAAUAUUUAAAUUUGUCAUCGAUAUUAUUAAAAGUUGUAAUGUAUCUUUAGUAAUUAUAAUUAGCAUGUAUUAUUUGUUUAUUUA